rnacentral:rRNA from 1 species
GAGGAAUAUUGGUCAAUGGACGAGAGUCUGAACCAGCCAAGUAGCGUGAAGGAUGAAGGUUCUAUGGAUUGUAAACUUCUUUUAUACGGGAAUAAACGAAUCCACGCGUGGAUUUUUGCAUGUACCGUAUGAAUAAGGAUCGGCUAACUCCGUGCCAGCAGCCGCGGUAAUACGGAGGAUCCGAGCGUUAUCCGGAUUUAUUGGGUUUAAAGGGAGCGUAGAUGGGUUGUUAAGUCAGUUGUGAAAGUUUGCGGCUCAACCGUAAAAUUGCAAUUGAUACUGGCAGUCUUGAGUACAGUUGAGGUAGGCGGAAUUCGUGGUGUAGCGGUGAAAUGCUUAGAUAUCACGAAGAACUCCGAUUGCGAAGGCAGCUUACUAACCUGUAACUGACAUUGAUGCUCGAAAGUGUGGGUAUCAAACAGGAUUAGAUACCCUGGUAGUCCACACGGUAAACGAUGAAUACUCGCUGUAGGCGAUAUACAGUCUGCGGCCAAGCGAAAGCAUUAAGUAUUCCACCUGGGGAGUACGCCGGCAACGGUGAAACUCAAAGGAAUUGACGGGGGCCCACACAAGCGGAGGAACAUGUGGUUUAAUUCGAUGAUACGCGAGGAACCUUACCCGGGCUUAAAUUGCAACCGAAUAUGGCGGAAACGCUAUAGCUAGCAAUAGCGGUUGUGAAGGUGCUGCAUGGUUGUCGUCAGCUCGUGCCGUGAGGUGUCGGCUUAAGUGCCAUAACGAGCACAACCCUUGCCGAUAGUUAUUAACAGGUUAUGCUGAGGACUCUGUCGGGACUGCCAUCGUAAGAUGUGAGGAAGGUGGGGAUGACGUCAAAUCAGCACGGCCCUUACGUCCGGGGCUACACACGUGUUACAAUGGGGGGUACAGAGGGCUGCUACCACGCAAGUGGAUGCCAAUCCCAAAAACCUCUCUCAGUUCGGAUUGAAGUCUGCAACCCGACUUCAUGAAGCUGGAUUCGCUAGUAAUCGCGCAUCAGCCACGGCGCGGUGAAUACGUUCCCG